UACGUAGGUGGCGAGCGUUGUCCGGAUUUACUGGGCGUAAAGAGCGCGCAGGCGGCUGGUCAAGUCCGAUGUGAAAGCUCCCGGCUUAACUGGUAAAUUGCAUCGGAAACUGAUCGGCUGGAAGGUGGGAGAGGGUAGCGGAAUUCCCGGUGUAGUGGUGAAAUGCGUAGAUAUCGGGAGGAACACCAGUGGCGAAAGCGGCUACCUGGCCCAUUCUUGACGCUGAGGCGCGAAAGCUAGGGGAGCAAACGGG
rnacentral:rRNA from 1 species